GUGCGGCUGGAGGUUUGGGCGUCGCGAGGACGAGGAGGAGGGGUGAUAAAACUUACUGCACGCGCUAUGCUGCUCUCUUUCAGGCGGCGCUGUGAGCGCGAGCGGGUCUCUGUGUUACAGGAUGGAGCUGUUUCUUUUCGGGGCCUCUGGCAGGGAAGUAGGAGGAGGACCACGUGGCUUUGGCUGACUCCUUUCUAGCACUAGGCCAUGUGUGGGCAAUAUGGAGUUAGCUAGCUCCCAGCUGCAGCCUGUGUUUAAGGGCUUCUGUAUGUAGGCAUAAAGGCAGAUGCCUUCUUGCUGAAAGAUCUUGACUGGUAGAAGAUGACUGACUGAUUGCAGAAGUUUUAGCAACCUUGUCUCACUGAAGCAUCCAGUUGAUGGUGAAAGCUUCAUGGACUGAAUUGGAAAGGAUUCGGUGUUGAGGAUGUACUGCAAGUGAAGAGGAGUGCUGAAUUACUGGAGAAUGAGCAUUUGACUGUUUGUAGUUUCCCAAUUGUAGUUCUUAGAUUCCAUAUCCUGAUCAACUAGGGGUUCCAAUGUGACAAUGUUAAGAGAUUAGUCAUACCAAUUGUGCCCCGGGAAAGAAAUGCAAAAAGUAGUUUAGGUUUGGAAUUUAAAAUGCUUGGAUUUUUUUUGUUGUAACCAGGGUCCUGAUUUUUUUAUUUUUAAUAAAGAAUUGUUACUGCAAAA